UGUAUACAUCGCUAAAGUAUUUAGAGAAUACUUGAGCUUUGCCAAAGUCGUCCUCCACUAGUGAUGUGGCAGU
rnacentral:tRNA from 1 species